UAGUCAUCAAUCCAAUGUCCCACCUAAGAUCUCCAAUUUGAAAAUGACAAAGUAAUCUCUGAGCUUAAAAGUGAUAGGAUUCUUAAAGACCCAUACCAAAAUCAGAUGAGUGAGGCUAGUACUGAUGUUAGUCAAAAAGAGAACUUGAAAGAAGAGGUGAAUAUUGAGACUAACCCAAUAGAAGAAUCUACGCUCGAAACUGGUACUGAUCUGCGUAAGAAAGAUAAAGAAAAGAAGAGAGCGGAUGAUUUAUCUGAGAUAUAUAAGCCAAGAAUCCUAUUUUCUUCAGCCCUAA
rnacentral:lncRNA from 1 species